AAAUUGAAGAGUUUGAUCAUGGCUCAGAUUGAACGCUGGCGGCAGGCCUAACACAUGCAAGUCGAACGGUAGCACAGAGAGCUUGCUCUCGGGUGACGAGUGGCGGACGGGUGAGUAAUGUCUGGGAAACUGCCUGAUGGAGGGGGAUAACUACUGGAAAC
rnacentral:rRNA from 2 species